CCAACACUGAACAAAGGGUAGGAGCAAAUGCUUGUGCGUAUGCACCUGUUGGGAUUACUGUGGAAAUUUUGCACAAGAACUUUAGCUCAGCAGGUCCAUUCUGAAAUACUGGUAAGCGUGUUUAUGAGGUCAGGAUGUUGAUUCAUCAGGGUUUUCCAAGAGGCCAAGCCAUCCUCCCAUUCCAAGGCCAAGAGGAAGAGCGCAUGGAACUUGGAGAUACUGUACGUUGUUCCCGCAUGUUUCCCAGUGUACAUUCCAGAUGAAGUAGGUCAUCCUGCCCAGCUGCCUCUAAUCACACUGCUCUCUUUCUGACUGAUCACUGUCAGCCAAUCUUAAUGAUCAGAUGCUUCAAUCAGCCAAUCAGAAACAUUAGACGAAUCAAAAAUUGUUAUUCAAAAUACUUCAAAUGUUUGUGGACUGCAUUUUGAAUGUUCAUGUCAAGGAUAAUUACAUAGAAGAAUGGACCAAA